UUACUGGGCUUAAAGAGUUCGUAGGUGGUUGAAAAAGUUGGUGGUGAAAUCCCAGAGCUUAACUCUGGAACUGCCAUCAAAACUUUUCAGCUAGAGUAUGAUAGAGGAAAGCAGAAUUUCUAGUGUAGAGGUGAAAUUCGUAGAUAUUAGAAAGAAUACCAAUUGCGAAGGCAGCUUUCUGGAUCAUUACUGACACUGAGGAACGAAAGCAUGGGUAGCGAAGAGGAUUAGAUACCCUCGUAGUCCAUGCCGUAAACGAUGUGUGUUAGACGUUGGAAAUUUAUUUUCAGUGUCGCAGCGAAAGCGAUAAACACACCGCCUGGGGAGUACGACCGCAAGGUUAAAACUCAAAUGAAUUGACGGGGACCCGCACAAGUAGUGGAGCAUGUGGUUUAAUUCGAAGAUACGCGCAGAACCUUACCAACACUUGACAUGUUCGUCGCGACUCUAAGAGAUUAGAGUUUUCGGUUCGGCCGGACGAAACACAGGUGCUGCAUGGCUGUCGUCAGCUCGUGUCGUGAGAUGUUGGGUUAAGUCCCGCAACGAGCGCAACCCUCACUUUUAGUUGCCAUCAUUUAGUUGGGCACUCUGAAAGAACUGCCAGUGAUAAGCUGGAGGAAGGUGGGGAUGACGUCAAGUCCUCAUGGCCCUUACGUGUUGGGCUACACACGUGCUACAAUGGUAUCUACAACAGGAAGCAAGACUGCGAGGUCAAGCAAAUCCUUAAAAGAUACCUCAGUUCGGAUUGCACUCUGCAACUCGAGUGCAUGAAGCUGGAAUUACUAGUAAUCGUGGAUCAGCGUGCCACGGUGAAUGCGUUCCCGGGUCUUGUACACACCGCCCGUCACACCAUGGGAGUUGGUUCUACCUUAAGGCAAGGUUUCAAACCCUUGACCACGGUAUAGUCAGCGACUGGGGUGAAGUCGUA
rnacentral:rRNA from 1 species